UCGGCGCGUGCCCGGGUAGGCGGCUUCGAUCUCCUUGUUCGGGAAGUAGUAGUACUCGAGACUGCCGACGAUCGCCUCGUCGGUGUCGGC
rnacentral:tRNA from 1 species